AUACCAAACCUAGUACAUGCCACAUAUCUAAAAGAUAGAGCAUCACCAAAAUUGAGCUGAGGUUGGGAUUGACUCAGAUGCUUGACUGAACUUCAACUUUAACUAACUUGCGCACGGAAAACAACCGUACGCUGAGUAUUGGAAAUACUCAGUGGUAUUAUCAUAAUUCAAAUUAUAACAACAAUAAAAUAUUAUAACAUACAUAGAUAAUUAGCAAAUCAUACAUAUAAAUUCAUACCAAACUAUCAUAUUUCCAUUAUAUCAUAUCCAAUGUUAAAUCCAAUAAAUCAUCAAUGAGAUUUCAAUUAACUCGUGAUCCUUUGAUUCAUCUCUCAACUACAUAUAAUUAUUCAAUUCACAUUUCAAAUAUGAACACUUCAUGAACAUUUGGUUCAUGCCUUCAAUCUCUUUACAAAUUUCAUUUCACAUUCCAUCUUACAAUAUCACUUUCUCAUUUCAUUCAAUAGCUCAAUUAACCAAAUCCAUUUGAUUUUACUAUUUCACUUAUUUUCCCCUAUUAACAUGACUCGGACUUUGGCAGAUACACGAUCCAACCAACACACCAGAAUGGCGACCAACGCCUCAUCGAAUAAUUCGAAGCAAAUAAGUGACGACCAACGUCUCAUCGGCUAAGCAGAAGUAAAGUGGCGACUAACGCCUCAUCGAAUCUAUCCGAAGUAAAUAUGACACACCAAGUGUCUCAUCGACUCGAGGUCGAAGAAUCCCUGAACUCUUCCUAUCCUAUGGCAUGCCAACUAUAUCCACCCUAGCCCGACUAGUUAAUAGGGUAUCAAAAUCACAUAUUCAUAUCACUUUCACUUUCAGUUGAUCGUAAUCAUUCGAAUUCAAAUCCAUCGCAAUAACAAUUCGAUCACAAUUUCAAAUUCACCACAAAUCAUUAUAUAAUUCAAUUUCACACAUGUAUACAUUCAUCAAUCAAAUCCAAUUCCCAUUCAAUUCAAAUAUCACUACUUACCUCACAUUCAAAUUCCAUACACAUUUAUUAAAAUUAAACAUUUAAUAAGAAAUAACUUGAAUUAUGAUAAUACAAACUGAUAUUUUUCUCGAGCUAUUCCUCGAUCACUUUUUCCUUUCCUUUCGUAUUCGACGUCUCAAUUUCCUUGUUUGCUACGAAAAUUAGUAUAAGUACAAUUAAUUAAUAACACACAUAUUUUAUAUAAAAUAAUAACUUUUCAUGCAACUUUUACCUAAAUCCCAAAUUUAUCCUAACUAUUUUCAUCUUCUUCCUUUUUAUAAUUCACAUCAUUUUCUUAUUCAAUUUCCAUCAAAACUUCAAUAUAACCAUCAAAUUUUCAUCAUUUUACCAUAAUUUCAAAUUUCUUCCAAUUUAACCCCUAAAAUUCAAAACUUAUAGGCUAGUUCACAAAUUAGUCCUUUAAUCAAUUUUAAUCAACAAUUCUAUCAAUUUAAUCCCUAAUUUCAUCAUUUAUUCAACAUAAACCUUACUCAAAAGUCUAUCAACUUUCAAUAUUUCCACACAAAUUCAAGAGUACUUUACUCUAAGACUCCAAAAACAUCAAAAUCACAAAGAAAGGGACUUAAUUGACUUACCAAUUUAACUUUCAAGCUUUCAAACCCUAAUUUCUCCUUUUUUUUUCUUUUCUUCUUUCUUUCUUUCUAUUUCGUUUGAUUCUCUAUAACUAUUUCUCUUGUUUUUCUUUAUUUUAUUCAUUCUUUAUUUUAUUACCUUAUUUACUUAAUUAAUAUUUAAUAAAAUAUCUAAUUAAUAUAAAUAAAAAUAUUACAUGUGUGUUCAUACACACAUGUACACAUGUAUUAAUCCCACACCAUACAUUUGUCAUUAUCUCAAUUAAUAGAUAAAAUAUAAUAAUAAUAAUAAUAGUAAUAAUAAGUAAAUAUCUUUUACUUAAUAAAUAAGUAAAUAUAUAUAUAACAUACAUUUGUACUAAUAAUUUAAAUACACAUAUAUUUAUUCUCUAUCUUACACAUGUCACUCAUUUGGUUUAAAUCCUAAUUUAGUCCUUUUUCAUUUUUCUUUAUUUUAUAAUUAAUCUUUUACACUCUAUUCAAUUUAGUCCUUUUUAAUAAUCACUCCUAAUUAAACUAAAUUCACCUAAUCAAAAUCUAAUUCAACCCAUAACUAACUUCGUAAAUAUUUUUUUAUAAAUAUUUACGGACUAGAUUUCCUAAGACGGAGGCCCUAAAUUUAUUUUUCCGGUGCCCAUGAAAUAUGGGUCGUUAUAAUCCACCCUUGAAGCUCGUUGUAUGACGCAUCCCAGUCACCAUACAACUCUCGCAUCGCCAUUUGCUUUGCCCACUAUGCCUUUCGGUACGACACUUUAUACUUGAAUCGAGGUUGCAUGUCCGCAAUAAGGAUCGACAUUUGAAUGGUGGGCGACUCUUUCACCAAAUGAAUGAUGUAGUUGUAUAUAGUUUUUGCAUAUAACUUUCCAUGGUCUUGCGACAUACGAGCGGACGUGCAUGUGUGUGGACCUUCUAGUUUUCUUAUCAUCCACAUCUGCGUCUGCUGCAUUAACGUGGCUUGGACACACCAUUUACAACCACUUGACGCUUUCCAACAUUCUUCUACGUACAAAGACUGCGUCGACUUCGUUACUUUAUAAUCCACACCUAACUUCAAGCUAAGUUGUUUUAUAGCAUGUAAACAGUCUUUUUUGUUAUCGAAUUGUUGUCCUACAAACAACUCUUCAUCGCUGAAUUCUUCGUCAAGUAUGUGAGCCGGCACAAUAUUUGUAUAUUCCGGGAACUCACGUGCUAGCACCGCAUCAGGAUCUACGUCGGUCAUGAAAGACCUCGAAUUAUUUCUUAUAACUAUACCAGGGCCUGUGUUCCCGGUCAAAUGGGGGUUUACAUUUUCACCCUCCACUGGCCCUUUCUCAUCUAUGUCUUCAGGGAUGUCAUCCAAUAGAGGUUACUGAAAUCAUCGUUUGGAUCACAAUGGGACUGAUCAUCAUUAUCGGACCCUUCAUCACCAUUUUCUAUGGUGGCCAACACCUCUGGAUGGAUCUCUAGACGAGGACACGGGUUUGGGAUGUUAUACGAACAUCCGCCGAUGUUUGGAUUUUCGGGAGUUAGCAUUGACCAUCCAAAACCCAACUGAUCUUCCCAGGAGAUGUUAAGAUCAAAAUCAAUUUCAGAGCGCUGGCUUGCUGGAAUUACAACUUGAAUCGGAUCUAGUUCAGCUAUCUCCAUGAACAACUCAAUCGAGUUGGGAUUUUCUAUCUCAGGAGGACAAUAAAUUGCUAUCAUUGUCCCUAGAUCAUCAUCAUCUUCAAGCUCCAUUUCUGAGAAUUUUAGCGGAUCAGUUGAAACCGAAAAUUUGUAAAACAGUCUCAACAUUUGCUUUUCGCAACGGCUUGCUAUCUUUGUACUGAUUUUCUGUUUUAAAUCCGACAACGAAACACGUCUGUUGAAUCUCAUUCCUAUUUUUUUCCGACUUCAAAAUACACAGCCUUCCUAAAUUGUAUUUAUCAUUUCUCCAUCGAAAUGAACAUAAACAAACAAAAUUUGGGAAAUCAUCUUAAAAAAAUUUUGCUUUCUUCUCAACGAAGAAAAAACUAAAAUUUUUUCUGAAAAAACUAAAAUCUUAAAAAGCACACAAAAACUCAAAUGGAAGAUAAAAUACAUAUAUAUAUCUGAUAAAUUUAGUGCCGGCCAUUGAUAGGCCAACAACAAAAAAAUUUAAUUUUUUUUAAUACUGGUGCCUGCCAUUGACAAGCUACCACAAAAAAAAAUUCAAUUUUUUUUAAUACUGGUGCCGACCAUUGAUAGGCCAGCACUAAAAAAAUUUCAAAUUUUUUUUUAAAUACUGGUGCCGCCAUUGACAGGCAAGCACCAAUUUUUUUUUAAAAACUCGUAUUCUGGUGCCUGUCAUUGACAGGCCAGCACUAAAAAAUUUUUAAUUUUUUUUAAAUUACUGGUGCCUACCAUUGACAGGUCAGUACCAAAAAAAAUCUUUUUUUUGAAAACUUGUAUUUUUGUAUACCAGUAUGAUACGGUUUGAAAAAAAAUACCUUGGUGCUGGCCAUUGACAGGCCAAAACCAAAAAAAUUAAUUUUUUAAAGCCUGACACAAUCAUCAGGAAAUCAUGUGUGCAAAAUACGAGUUGGUGCCAGCCAUUGACAGGCCCAAACCCUAAUCUACUGUUCAUUUCAAGUAAUUUUGGUGAUUGUUUUUGAACCUGAGUCAUUUUUAUAAAUAUCAAUUUUUUUUGGGUCAGUUUGAUAAAAUAGCACCAAAAUCCACUCUAACCAUAAUUUUGCUCGUUUUUCCAACGAACGACUUAUUUAACCCCGUUAACAUCUCUGUCAUCAUCUCCUACAUCCUCAAUUCUUACGAGUUCCCGACCACAUCGUCGUCGCCUGCAACUUCUUCGACUACUACUCCUCCAUAGAUCCAACCUCUAACUGCAACUGCGUUUGUUUCUUCUAGCCCACCAGUUUCCUUCUGAGGGAACCGAAACAAAACCCUUUAUUAUUUCAACUAGAAAGCCAUCUUCAAGAUCAAAUUCAAAGGAUUACUCUUUCUCAAACCAGAUUCAAAUCCCUUAUUUCUGAUCCCAAAAUAUCAUAUAAAGUAAACUCCUCUCCAAGUUAUUUAUGCCUUCCAUUCGCAUCUAAAGAUUCCCCACAUUUUCCUACAACACCCAAAUUACAUGUAAUCAAAAAAUUUUCAAUAAAAACAACUGACACGGUAAAAACCCAUCAUUCCAUUGCGAUAAAAAAAAUAUAAACAAAUAAAAAAUCAUUAAAAAAACAAUGGCUUACAAAUCCAUCCAAGUUAAGGGAGUGAAGGAACAAGUGUCUUGUAAAUUAAAAUAUAAAAUAAAUAAAUAUGAUAUUUGUCAUUCUCUUAAUUUAUUUGUGAAAUCUGAAAAAACUUAAUGAAAGAAGAAAAAAGAGCUAAUUUAUUGAUUACUAGAAACAAAUAUUAAAAUAAAAUUUUAGUUAAAUGAUAAAUUAAAAGUUUUACUGAUAUAAUUGGUUUGGAUUCAAAUAUCAUCAUAGGUAUAUUUUUAUUAGUUUUUUUAAAUAAAAAGAUUAAAAUAUUCUCUAAUAAUAUAACUUAUUUUAAUUACGAAAUGAUAUUUUCAUAAUUUUUCUAACUGAGUUGCUAACUUAAUUGAGGAUGACACCAUCUUAAUCAGGAGCUUAAAUAAUAUUAUAGAUAAAAUAAAUAACUCAUAGUGUUGUAAUAUCCACUAUUAAUAUGACAAAGAUUUAAGCCUCAUUUACAUUUGAGGUUGAAAAGCAUUUUUUAACCUAAACGUUGAUUUCAAACAAAAAUUGUUUUGGAAAACAAGCAACUUCUUAAAGGGGAUUUUAAUUCAAGCCAAAAAUUUUAACUUUUUUCUUUCCAAAAUUUUUUAACUUUUUUCUUUUUUGGAAUAGUACUUUUCAAUUAAGUUAUUAAACCUUUUAUAAUCUAAAAUUAACAUUUUAUCUUCUCAAAAGUACUUUUAAACUAUUAAAAUAAUCAUUUUUAUUUACCUCAAGUUACAUUUUAGUCACUUAUGUUUGAAAUGUUACAUUUUAGUCACUUACAUUAUCGCGUUGUAAUAUUUUAGUCACUGAGCCAUGGUAAGCUGACGUGACACUUUAAAUCAUUAUUUCGAACAAAAAUUUUAGGUUAAUUUAUACAAUCGAUCUCCAUAUUUUUUCGUUUUGGGCAAUUUAAUUUUUUUCUUUUAUUUUCUUUAUUUCCCAUUCUCUUCUGCUUCUUCCUCUGUUUUCCUCCAUUUUCCAUUUCUUUUAACGGAGUUUUUCUAUUUUUUCUAUUUGUUAAAACUAUGAAAAAUAUAGAAAAGCUACGUUAAAAGAAAUGAAGAAGAGAGGAAAACAGAGGGAGAAGCAGAAGAGAAUGGAAAUAAAAAAAAGAAAAAGAAAAGGAAAGUUCAAAGAACAUAAAAGAAAAAAAUUAAAUUACUUGAAAUGAAAAAAUAUGAUGACCAAUUGUAGAAUUUAACCUAAAUUUUUUGUUUAAAAUGAUUAUUUAACAUGCCACGUCAGCUUACUAUUACACCGUUAAUGGCAAUUAACGGCUCAAUGACUAAAAUGCUACAACACGAUAACGUAAAUGACUAAAAUGUAACGUUUUAAAUAUAAAUGACUAAAAUGUAACUUGAAACAAUCAGAAGUGAAUAUUUUAACAGUUUAUCAUUUUAAUAAUAACAGUAAACACUAUCAAUAUUUUUAAAAACACUUUUUUUUUUCACACAACUUUACAAUAUUAAUGGUAAACUAGCAGUGAAAGAGUAAAGUAUAAGAGCCCAAAAGGCCCAAAGCAAAAUGUCCCCUCAUUGAAACGUUAGACGUUAAGCUACAGCAGUAUUGGGAAUGGAGAAAUACAGAGCUGGGCUACAAAAGUAUGAAGGCCCAGGUUGGCUAUAAAUGAAAAUAUGACCGUCUUCUAAAACAGAAUUUUUCCUAUCAACUCCACGUCUCUUUCCAUCGACUUAAAUACCAGAAUAACAAUUACGAGCUUUAUAAUUCAUUGUUUACAUCCUUGCAGGGCUAAGUCUCCAGAUAACCAAUAACACCUCCCACUCCUAAAAGCUGUCAUUCUCCUCCAUGCAUUUUCUUAAAAAAGUUAACAGGAGAGUGAUUUGGCAAAAGAGGUGAGCUUGUGAAUGGUGUGGGAAGUAUGUAAUGACCAUACCACACUUUAUUAUUUGCACAAGCAAAUCAAAGUUAAGCUUUACAUCAUAAUAAUGACAUGAGGACUUUGGAAUGGAAGAAACAAGACGGUGAAUACUAACCAAAAAUCUAUCAUCUCCCAUUUACGAUACCAUUUAAUUUCUUUUAUAAAAACAAUGAUUCUGAGACAUAAUUGUUGACUUGAAUGGAAUGUCUCGCAACUCUUUUUUUGUUCCUAUCAGUUUCUGGCAAAGCAUGGGAUCAUAGUAUCCAUAUAAUUACAAUAUAUUUAUAGGAUACUACUUCUAGAGCUUACCUUGUCUUGUAAGAAACAAGACAAGAGUGAAUAUGUUUCUGUUUCUGAUCCCGUGAAGGAAAAAUGCAAGUUUUACUCAAAUCCGCUGCUCUUAAUCUUAAAUUAUUUCUUUCCGAACAAUCUGAGUCUUGAAUGUAAAAUCUGAAAGGAAUCAAUUAUUAUGAUGUCCUACAACUCACAUGCACAGUUUGGCAAAAUAACAUUGAAAAACAUCUGAUCUAAGACUUUUGGCAAAUGAUUAAAUUAGUUAAUUUAUUUUAAAAGUAUUACAACUUUCAUUUUCGAGUUUGACAACAAUUUUUGUCAUGGCAUGAGAGUACUGAGAGUGAGGCCACGUGAAAUAAUCCUCUUGUGGCCGUUUUAAAGGUCUCGUGAACCAACAGGGACCCCUGUUCAUCCCAAAAUGAAUAAAAUAUUUUGGUUUAACUUAUCACAUUUUUAAUCUUAAUAUCCCAAUUAUGAUCUCCUUUAUUUUAUUUUUAAAUAAAGAAGAAAAUAGAAGUAGAGGGGGAGCUAUUUAUAAACACCAUAUCCUUGAAAUAAUUGUUAUCGACAAACUUCCUAGAAAAUAAAAAGAGACUUGAAAAAUGUGUUGGUUUUCCCUUAUAAUAAUAUUGUCGAGUUCCAUAGUUAUAGAUUUGUCAGAGGGUAGCCAUGCCCAUCAUCAUCAUCAUCGGAAGAAAUCUGCAGUUGUUGUUGGAAGUGUGUACUGUGAUACUACAUGUUCCCAAGAGGAGUUCUCUAGGACCAGCCAUUCCAUUUCAGGUUUAAUUCCAUUGCCAAACUUGUAUAAGGCUUCCAUCUCCAUCAGUUAGUCUGAAUUGGGGUGGUUUUGUGUGCAGGUGCAUCAGUUGCAGUGGAAUGUAAAGAAGGGACUUCAAGGCCAGGUUUCGUGCAGGAAGUGAAAACCAAUGAGCAUGGUGAAUUCGAACUUCGAUUGCCUUUCUCAGUUAGUAGAAGGGUGAAGAAAAUCAAUGGAUGUUCAGUGAAAUUGAUUAAAAGCAGUGAACCAGAUUGUAAUGUGGUGGCCUCAAUACCAGCUUCGUCUGCACUCCGUCUGGUGUCGGGGAAGCAUGGAACUCGUGUGUUUUCAGCUGGGACUUUCAGCUUCAAGCCUCUAAAACAACCAAACCUGUGUAGAACAAAACCAAAAGAAGCAAAUGGAGAAAAGGCUGUCCUUGGCCACCCUGAAUCAUUCUUUUUCCCUCCUCCCCUGUUUCCUCCGAACCCCUUUCAGCCUCCUCCGUUGCUUCCUCCCAUACUGCCACCACCAGCUCCACUUAUUCCAAACCCAUUUCAGCCUCCUCCAGCUCCACUUAUUCCAAACCCCUUUCAGCCUCCUCCAGCUCCUCUUAUUCCAAACCCUUUUCAGCCUCCUCCAGCCCCACCGGCUCCACUUAUUCCAAACCCUUUUCAGCCUCCUCCCGCACCACCGGCUCCACUUAUUCCAAACCCUUUCCAGCCUCCUCCCGCACCUCCAGCUCCAUUUAUCCCAAACCCCUUCCAGCCUCCUUCGGCACCUCCAGCACCUCCAGCACCAUGGUUUCAUCUUCCACCGAUUCCAGGACUAACUCCACCACCAUCGCCACCACCUCCACCUCCACCAACCUUCCCGUUUCCUCUUCCCCCAUUCCAUUUCCCACCUAUACCGCCUUUCCCUGGUAUCCCCCCUGCCUCUGC
rnacentral:lncRNA from 1 species